UACGUAGGGUGCGAGCGUUGUCCGGAAUUAUUGGGCGUAAAGGGCUCGUAGGCGGUUUGUCGCGUCGGGAGUGAAAACACUGGGCUUAACCCAGUGCUUGCUUUCGAUACGGGCAGACUAGAGGUAUGCAGGGGAGAACGGAAUUCCUGGUGUAGCGGUGAAAUGCGCAGAUAUCAGGAGGAACACCGGUGGCGAAGGCGGGUCUCUGGGCCGAAAUUGACGCUGAGGAGCGAAAGUGUGGGGAGCGAACAGG
rnacentral:rRNA from 1 species